UUCACUCUCUCGUCUCUCAUCACUAAUCCCAUAUGUAUGGCUUCAGCACAAUGAAGAAAAUAAAUCUGCACACAAAGAAUUCAGGAUUUCUUCGUGUUCAUGAAUAGACAGAGUUUAGCUCACUGUUUAGUUGAAGUUGCUACACCUCAGCGAGAACAGUACAGGCCCUUAUGAAACAUUGUGAAAA